rnacentral:rRNA from 1 species
UACGUAGGGUGCAAGCGUUGUUCGGAAUUACUGGGCGUAAAGAGCGCGCAGGCGGUCGUUCAAGUCGAGUGUGAAAGCCCCCGGCUCAACUGGGGAGGGUCACUCGAUACUGAUCGACUCGAAGGCAGGAGAGGGAAGUGGAAUUCCCGGUGUAGUGGUGAAAUGCGUAGAUAUCGGGAGGAACACCAGUGGCGAAGGCGACUUCCUGGCCUGUUCUUGACGCUGAGGCGCGAAAGCUAGGGGAGCAAACGGG